GGGGAUGUAAUGGCUUCGACACGCAUUCGAUUCAUUAUGUUGCAGUGGUUUGCAAACCAUAAGGCACUAGGCUUUUUUAAACGCAAAAGACCAAAAAACAGAAGAUCAAGCAGUUGAUCUAGCAUUUAUGAAUAAUUCACAAAUGCAAUCAAAUCUAGUUUUCGCUUAGUAAAAUUAGUCAAUUUAUUAUGGUGCUCAACAUAAUAAAUGGUAGUAUGAGCUUAAUAUCAUAUGAUUUUAGUUAAUAUGAUAGGAUUUGUAACUAAACUAUGUUAUAGAAAUUUGUAAAUUAUAUAUAUGACAUAGGAAAUUUAAUUUACUAAACUGUAGAUGCAUAAUGUUGAAGAUGUGUGGACCGGGGUUCAACUCCCCGCAUCUCCACCA
rnacentral:tmRNA from 1 species